GACGAACGCUGGCGGCGUGCCUAAUACAUGCAAGUCGAACGCAGUGGGGACGGGUGGGUAAAACGUGGGUAACCUCCCAUCAGAGGGGAAAACACUUGGAAACAGGUGCUAAACUGAUACUGAUGGAUGGACUCGCGGUGAAUUAGCUAGUUGGGGAGGUAACGGCUCACCAAGGCCACGAUGCAUAGCCGACCUGAGAGGGUGAUCGGCCACACUGGAACUGAGACACGGCCCAGACUCCGACGGGAGGCAGCAGUAGGGAAUCUUCGGCAAUGGGCGAAAGCCUGACCGAGCAACGCCGCGUGAGUGAAGAAGGUUUUCGGAUCGUAAAACUCUGUUGUUAGAGAAGCGGUAUCUAACCAGAAAGCCACGGCUAACUACGUGCCAGCAGCCGCGGUAAUUC
rnacentral:rRNA from 1 species